GUAGCCACGGUAAAACGGAGGGGGCUAGCGUUGUUCGGAAUUACUGGGCGUAAAGCGCACGUAGGCGGCUUGGUAAGUUAGAGGUGAAAGCCCGGAGCUCAACUCCGGAAUUGCCUUUAAGACUGCCGAGCUAGUAGGUGAGAGAGGUAAGUGGAAUUCCGAGUGUAGAGGUGAAAUUCGUAGAUAUUCGGAAGAACACCAGUGGCGAAGGCGGCUUACUGGCUCAUUCUAGACGCUGAGGUGCGAAAGCGUGGGGAGCAAACAGGAUUAGAUACCCCUGUAGUCCCUGUCUCUUAUACAC
rnacentral:rRNA from 1 species